GUUUAGCCCCGAUUGAAGCGGCAUCCUUUUUUGUGUAGAAUCUACAACUUAGUAUUACCCAAAACUCCAUCUUAGGCAUUAUACCAUAGGACAUACUUAAAUAUAAUUAGCACAAAAAAGAUAUAGCAGAAAGCGGGAAAUAGC
rnacentral:sRNA from 1 species